rnacentral:rRNA from 1 species
CCUACGGGUGGCAGCAGUAGGGAAUCUUCCACAAUGGGCGAAAGCCUGAUGGAGCAACGCCGCGUGGGUGAAGAAGGUCUUCGGAUCGUAAAACCCUGUUGUUAGAGAAGAAAGUGCGUGAGAGUAACUGUUCACGUUUCGACGGUAUCUAACCAGAAAGCAACGGCGAACUACGUGGCAGAAGCCGAGGGAAUACGUAGGGGGCAAGCGUUAUCCGGAUUUAUUGGGCGUAAAGGGAGCGCAGGCGGUCUUUUAAGUCUGAUGUGAAAGCCUUCGGCUUAACCGGGGUAGUGCAUUUGAAACUGGGAGGCUUGAGUGCAGAAGAGGAGGGUGGAACUCCAUGUGUAGCGGUGAAAUGCGUAGAUAUAUGGAAGAACACCAGUGGCGAAAGCGGCUCUCUGGUCUGUAACUGACGCUGAGGUUCGAAAGCGUGGGUAGCAAACAGGAUUAGAUACCCUGGUAGUC